rnacentral:misc_RNA from 1 species
GAAACGCGAUAGUUAAUGUGAAUUGCAGAAUUCAGUGAAUCAUCGAGUCUUUGAACGCACAUUGCGCCCAUUGGUAUUCCUUUGGGCAUGUCUGUUUGAGCGUCAUUACAACCCCUCAGCUAACGCUGGUUUUGAACCGGGACAGGUUAACACCCGCACCGGUUUUAAAGUUGUAAGCUCUGCUGGCUGCUCUGCCCCAACCGGAACAUAGUAAAACUACUACUUGUUAAGGCGAGGCGAAGCGGUACGGCCUGAACAAAACCUACCCAUUUUUCUAAGGUUUGACCUCAGAUCAGACAAGGAUACCCGCUGAACUUAA